UCGGGAAUUUUGGGCAAUGGGCGAAAGCCUGACCCAGCAACGCCGCGUGAAGGAUGAAGUAUUUCGGUAUGUAAACUUCGAAAGAAUAGGAAGAAUAAAUGACGGUACUAUUUAUAAGGUCCGGCUAACUACGUGCCAGCAGCCGCGGUAAUACGUAGGGACCAAGCGUUGUUCGGAUUUACUGGGCGUAAAGGGCGCGUAGGCGGCAAUUCAAGUCAUCUGUGAAAUCUCCGGGCUUAACUCGGAACGGUCAGAUGAUACUGCUUUGCUAGAGUGCAGAAGGGGCAAUCGGAAUUCUUGGUGUAGCGGUGAAAUGCGUAGAUAUCAAGAGGAACACCUGAGGUGAAGACGGGUUGCUGGGCUGACACUGACGCUCAUGCACGAAAGCGUGGGGAGCAAACAGGAUUAGAUACCCAUGUAGUCCCUGAGCGGGCUGGCAAGGCGCAU
rnacentral:rRNA from 1 species